rnacentral:rRNA from 1 species
UACGGGGGGGGCAAGCGUUGUUCGGAAUUACUGGGCGUAAAGGGCUCGUAGGUGGCCAACUAAGUCGGACGUGAAAUCCCUCGGCUUAACCGGGGAACUGCGUCCGAUACUGGAUGGCUUGAGUUUGGGAGAGGGAUGCGGAAUUCCAGGUGUAGCGGUGAAAUGCGUAGAUAUCUGGAGGAACACCGGUGGCGAAGGCGGCAUCCUGGACCAACACUGACACUGAGGAGCGAAAGCGUGGGUAGCAAACAGG